CACGUAGUUAGCCGGAGCUUAUUCUACAGGUACUGUCAUUAUCUUCCCUGUCUAAAGCAGUUUACAAUCCGAAAACCUUCUUCCUGCACGCGGCGUCACUGCGUCAGAGUUUCCUCCAUUGCGCAAUAUUCCCGACUGCUGCCUCCCGUAGGAGUCUGGGCCGUAUCUCAGUCCCAAUGUGGCCGUUCAACCCCUCAGUCCGGCUACUGAUCGUCGACUUGGUAGGCCGUUACCCCACCAACUAUCUAAUCAGACGCAAGCCCAUCUAUCAGCGGAUUGCUCUUUCCUUCGUUACAUGCGUAACUCAAGGCAUAUGCGGUAUUAGCAGUCAUUUCAACUGUUGUUCCCCUCUGAUAGGCAGGUUGCUUACGUGUUACUCACCAGUCCGCCACUAACCGCUCCAAUAGUAAACUAAUGGUUAAGUCCGUUCGACUUGCAUGUCUUAUGUGCGCCGCCAGCGUUUAUCCUGAGCAGGAUCAAACUCU
rnacentral:rRNA from 1 species